ensembl:lincRNA 1700019E08Rik RIKEN cDNA 1700019E08 gene
GUGGCUUUUCUGGGUUCAAGAGAGAAUGGUAAAGGUACGAGGGCAAAGUGUGAGUUUGCCUGAUGUGCACCACAAGGGCCAUGGAGGAUUUGAAGCACAGGGCUGGCAUGGUAGUGACCUGCGAGUGAGCUGUGUGGAGAUUGUGGAGUUCUGACUCAGUGCAGGCUGAACGUUGCCGGCACAAAUUCAGGAACCAGCUGGUUCAUAUUUUUUUCAAUAAUUCCUGCAGCACCCACAUGAAGAGCAAGUUGAACAUCUGGUACAUAUGUGAGUGGAUGCUUAGAUACAGCCCAUAGACGUCCUUUCGUUGGUGGUUCAGACUCUGAGAGCCCCAAGGCUCCAGAUUAUGGUCCACCAUUCAGGGAACUCAUGUCAGAAACUCAAGGCAGAAGUUGAGGCCAUGAAGAAACACAGCUUUUCUAGG